ACAAUGGAGAGUUUGAUCCUGGCUCAGGAUUAACGCUAGCGGGAGGCCUAACACAUGCAAGUCGAGCGGGAUUAUGUUAUUAGCUUGCUAAUGACAUAUGAGAGCGGCGUACGGGUGCGUAACACGUGUGCAACCUGCCUUUAUCAGGGGGAUAGCCUUCCGAAAGGGAGAUUAAUACCCCAUAAUAUACAGAUUGGCAUCAAUUGGUAUUGAAAACUACGGUGGAUAGAGAUGGGCACGCGCAAGAUUAGAUAGUUGGUGAGGUAACGGCUCACCAAGUCGAUGAUCUUUAGGGGGCCUGAGAGGGUGAUCCCCCACACUGGUACUGAGACACGGACCAGACUCCUACGGGAGGCAGCAGUGAGGAAUAUUGGACAAUGGGUGAGAGCCUGAUCCAGCCAUCCCGCGUGAAGGAUGAAGGACCUAUGGUUUGUAAACUUCUUUUGUACAGGGAUAAACCUAUCUACGUGUAGAUAGCUGAAGGUACUGUACGAAUAAGCACCGGCUAACUCCGUGCCAGCAGCCGCGGUAAUACGGAGGGUGCGAGCGUUAUCCGGAUUUAUUGGGUUUAAAGGGUCCGUAGGCGGAUUGGUAAGUCAGUGGUGAAAUCCUACAGCUCAACUGUAGAACUGCCAUUGAUACUGCUAGUCUUGAGUGUAGUUGAAGUAGCUGGAAUGAGUAGUGUAGCGGUGAAAUGCAUAGAUAUUACUCAGAACACCGAUAGCGAAGGCAGGUUACUAAGUUACAACUGACGCUGAGGGACGAAAGCGUGGGGAGCGAACAGGAUUAGAUACCCUGGUAGUCCACGCUGUAAACGAUGCUAACUCGUUUUUGGGGCGAUUGAGUUUCAGAGACUAAGCGAAAGUGAUAAGUUAGCCACCUGGGGAGUACGAACGCAAGUUUGAAACUCAAAGGAAUUGACGGGGGCCCGCACAAGCGGUGGAUUAUGUGGUUUAAUUCGAUGAUACGCGAGGAACCUUACCAAGACUUAAAUGGGAAUUGACAGGUUUAGAGAUAGACUUUUCUUCGGACAAUUUUCAAGGUGCUGCAUGGUUGUCGUCAGCUCGUGCCGUGAGGUGUUAGGUUAAGUCCUGCAACGAGCGCAACCCCUGUCACUAGUUGCCAUCAUUAAGUUGGGGACUCUAGUGAGACUGCCUACGCAAGUAGAGAGGAAGGUGGGGAUGACGUCAAAUCAUCACGGCCCUUACGUCUUGGGCUACACACGUAAUACAAUGGCCGGUACAGAGGGCAGCUACACAGUGAUGUGAUGCGAAUCUCGAAAGCCGGUCUCAGUUCGGAUUGGAGUCUGCAACUCGACUCUAUGAAGCUGGAAUCGCUAGUAAUCGCGCAUCAGCCAUGGCGCGGUGAAUACGUUCCCGGGCCUUGUACACACCGCCCGUCAAGCCAUGGAAGUCUGGGGUACCUGAAGUCGGUGACCGUCACAGGAGCUGCCUAGGGUAAAACAGGUAACUAGGGCUAAGUCGUAACAAGGUAGCCGUACCGGAAGGUGCGGCUGGAACAUCUCAUUUUAGA
rnacentral:rRNA from 1 species